rnacentral:rRNA from 1 species
UACGAAGGGGGCUAGCGUUGCUCGGAAUUACUGGGCGUAAAGGGCGCGUAGGCGGAUAGUUUAGUCAGAGGUAAAAGCCCAGGGCUCAACCUUGGAACUGCCUUUGAUACUGGCUAUCUUGAGUACGGGAGAGGUGUGUGGAACUCCGAGUGUAGAGGUGAAAUUCGUAGAUAUUGGGAAGAACACCGGUGGCGAAGGCGGCGACCUGGUCCGAUACUGACGCUGAGGCGCGAAAGCGUGGGGAGCAAACAGG